UUCUGGCUCAGGAUGAACGCUGGCGGCGUGCUUAACACAUGCAAGUCGAACGGAGUUUAGAUGAAAGCUUGCUUUGACUAAACUUAGUGGCGGACGGGUGAGUAACGCGUGGGUAACCUGCCUUAUACAGGGGGAUAACAGUCGGAAACGACUGCUAAUACCGCAUAAGCGCACGGAAUCGCAUGAUUCAGUGUGAAAAGAUUUAUCGGUAUAAGAUGGACCCGCGUCUGAUUAGCUAGUUGGUGAGGUAACGGCCCACCAAGGCGACGAUCAGUAGCCGGCCUGAGAGGGUGAACGGCCACAUUGGGACUGAGACACGGCCCAAACUCCUACGGGAGGCAGCAGUGGGGAAUAUUGCACAAUGGGGGAAACCCUGAUGCCAGCGACGCCGCGUGAGUGAAGAAGUAUUUCGGUAUGUAAAGCUCUAUCAGCAGGGAAGAAAAUGACGGUACCUGACUAAGAAGCCCCGGCUAACUACGUGCCAGCCGCUGC
rnacentral:rRNA from 1 species